AGAGUUUGAUCAUGGCUCAGAUUGAACGCUGGCGGCAGGCCUAACACAUGCAAGUCGAGCGCGAAAACACUUCGGUGUGAGUAGAGCGGCGGACGGGUGAGUAACGCGUAGGAAUCUACCUGGUAGUGGGGGACAACAUGGUGAAAACCAUGCUAAUACCGCAUACGACCUAUGGUGAAAGUGGGGGACCUUCGGGCCUCACGCUAUCGGAUGAGCCUGCGUAGGAUUAGCUUGUUGGUGAGGUAAAGGCUCACCAAGGCGACGAUCCUUAGCUGGUCUGAGAGGAUGAUCAGCCACACUGGAACUGAGACACGGUCCAGACUCCUACGGGAGGCAGCAGUGGGGAAUAUUGCGCAAUGGGCGAAAGCCUGACGCAGCCAUGCCGCGUGUGUGAAGAAGGCCUUAGGGUUGUAAAGCACUUUCAAUUGGGAAGAAAAGCUCAGUGUUAAUAGCACUGAGCCCUGACAUUACCUUUAGAAGAAGCACCGGCUAACUCCGUGCCAGCAGCCGCGGUAAUACGGAGGGUGCGAGCGUUAAUCGGAAUUACUGGGCGUAAAGCGCGCGUAGGCGGUUUGUUAAGUCAGCUGUGAAAGCCCCGGGCUCAACCUGGGAACUGCAGUUGAUACUGGCCGACUAGAGUACGAGAGAGGGAGGUAGAAUUCCAUGUGUAGCGGUGAAAUGCGUAGAUAUAUGGAGGAAUACCAGUGGCGAAGGCGGCCUCCUGGCUCGAUACUGACGCUGAGGUGCGAAAGCGUGGGGAUCAAACAGGAUUAGAUACCCUGGUAGUCCACGCCGUAAACGAUGUCUACUAGCCGUUGGGAGACUUGAUUUCUUAGUGGCGCAGCUAACGCAAUAAGUAGACCGCCUGGGGAGUACGGCCGCAAGGUUAAAACUCAAAUGAAUUGACGGGGGCCCGCACAAGCGGUGGAGCAUGUGGUUUAAUUCGAUGCAACGCGAAGAACCUUACCAGGUCUUGACAUCCUGAGAACUUUCUAGAGAUAGAUUGGUGCCUUCGGGAACUCAGAGACAGGUGCUGCAUGGCUGUCGUCAGCUCGUGUCGUGAGAUGUUGGGUUAAGUCCCGUAACGAGCGCAACCCUUGUCCUUAGUUGCCAGCACAUAAUGGUGGGAACUCUAAGGAGACUGCCGGUGACAAACCGGAGGAAGGUGGGGACGACGUCAAGUCAUCAUGGCCCUUACGACCUGGGCUACACACGUGCUACAAUGGAACGCACAGAGGGCAGCAAACCCGCGAGGGGGAGCGAAUCCCACAAAACGUUUCGUAGUCCGGAUUGGAGUCUGCAACUCGACUCCAUGAAGUCGGAAUCGCUAGUAAUCGUGGAUCAGAAUGCCACGGUGAAUACGUUCCCGGGCCUUGUACACACCGCCCGUCACACCAUGGGAGUGGGUUGCAAAAGAAGUGGGUAGACUAACCUUCGGGAGGUCGCUCACCACUUUGUGAUUCAUGACUGGGGUGAAGUCGUAACAAGGUA
rnacentral:rRNA from 1 species